rnacentral:rRNA from 1 species
UGGGGAAUUUUGGACAAUGGGCGCAAGCCUGAUCCAGCCAUGCCGCGUGCAGGAUGAAGGCCUUCGGGUUGUAAACUGCUUUUGUACGGAACGAAAAGGUGCCUUCUAAUAAAGGGCGCUCAUGACGGUACCGUAAGAAUAAGCACCGGCUAACUACGUGCCAGCAGCCGCGGUAAUACGUAGGGUGCGAGCGUUAAUCGGAAUUACUGGGCGUAAAGCGUGCGCAGGCGGUUUUGUAAGACAGAGGUGAAAUCCCCGGGCUCAACCUGGGAACUGCCUUUGUGACUGCAAAGCUGGAGUGCGGCAGAGGGGGAUGGAAUUCCGCGUGUAGCAGUGAAAUGCGUAGAUAUGCGGAGGAACACCGAUGGCGAAGGCAAUCCCCUGGGCCUGCACUGACGCUCAUGCACGAAAGCGUGGGGAGCAAACA